rnacentral:rRNA from 1 species
ACGAACGCUGGCGGCGUGCUUAACACAUGCAAGUCGAACGGAAAGGCCAGUGCUUGCACUGGUACUCGAGUGGCGAACGGGUGAGUAACACGUGGGUGAUCUGCCCUCAACUCCGGGAUAAGCCUGGGAAACUGGGUCUAAUACUGGAUAGGACCACAUCGUGGAUGGUGUGGUGGAAAGCGUUUUGCAGCGGUUGGGGAUGAGCUCGCGGCCUAUCAGCUUGUUGGUGGGGUAAUGGCCUACCAAGGCGGCGACGGGUAGCCGGCCUGAGAGGGUGUACGGUCACAUUGGGACUGAGAUACGGCCCAGACUCCUACGGGAGGCAGCAGUGGGGAAUAUUGCACAAUGGGCGCAAGCCUGAUGCAGCGACGCCGCGUGGGGGAUGACGGCCUUCGGGUUGUAAACCUCUUUCGACCGUGACGAAGCCUUUGGUGACGGUAGCGGUAGAAGAAGCACCGGCUAACUACGUGCCAGCAGCCGCGGUAAUACGUAGGGUGCGAGCGUUGUCCGGAUUUACUGGGCGUAAAGGGCUCGUAGGUGGUUUGUCGCGUCGUCUGUGAAAUUCCGGGGCUCAACUCCGGGCGUGCAGGCGAUACGGGCAUAACUUGAGUACUGCAGGGGUAACUGGAAUUCCUGGUGUAGCGGUGGAAUGCGCAGAUAUCAGGAGGAACACCGAUGGCGAAGGCAGGUUACUGGGCAGUUACUGACGCUGAGGAGCGAAAGCAUGGGUAGCGAACAGGAUUAGAUACCCUGGUAGUCCAUGCUGUCAACGGUGGGCGCUAGGUGUGAGACCCUUCCACGGGUUUUGUGCCGUAGCUAACGUUUUAAGCGCCCCGCCUGGGGAGUACGGCCGCAAGGCUAAAACUCAAAGGAAUUGACGGGGGCCCGCACAAGCGGCGGAGCAUGUGGAUUAAUUCGAUGCAACGCGAAGAACCUUACCUGGGUUUGACAUACACCGGAUCGCCCCGGAGACGGGGUUUCCCUUUGUGGUCGGUGUACAGGUGGUGCAUGGUUGUCGUCAGCUCGUGUCGUGAGAUGUUGGGUUAAGUCCCGCAACGAGCGCAACCCUUGUCCUGUGUUGCCAGCACAUUGUGGUGGGGACUCACGGGAGACUGCCGGGGUGAACUCGGAGGAAGGUGGGGAUGACGUCAAAUCAUCAUGCCCCUUAUGUCCAGGGCUUCACACAUGCUACAAUGGUCGGUACAACAGGUUGCGAUACCGUGAGGUGGAGC